rnacentral:lncRNA from 1 species
GACCCCUAAGGCCUUAGGAUUUCGUGCACUUGAUCCCUAGAGCAUCUAAGGACGAAUUUCUACCUCUCUCCUCUCUCUUUAUACCUUCUCCACUUGCUUAUGGUGUUUGUAAGCCAUUAGAGGAGUGACACUUGUGACUCUAAGCCUUCCAAAGUCAAUUCAAGGAGGAAUUGGGAUUGUUAUUGCUACAUAACAAUCAAGGUAAUAUCAUAAACCUAAUUAUAUGUUAAUAUCGAAUUCCAUAUGCUAGAAUUAGGGUUUAUAGUCUUGGAUAACAAGCAUGUACAAUAGAGAAACCUAGAUCCAAGCAUUAGGGUUUGUAUGAGCACAUAAGAUGUCUUAUGACUAAAACCCAUCAGUGGUAUCAGAGCCUGGUUGGUUUUUAUUGUAUUGAUGCUUGAUAUGUAUGAAAAAUUCAAUUGUAUGAACUUGACAUAUUAGGGUUUAUUGCCAAUAAACCCUAGGAGGCUAGGUUUGUUUUUCGAGAUUAGGGUUUGCAAACCCUAAUUUGCAAGAGUUUGAAUAAGAUCUUCAAAUCCUUUCCUUAAACCCUUAAAUUUCGAAAUCUAGGGUUUGUUUUAAUCCCUUGAUUUUCGAAAUUAGCCUCCUCCCCAAGAUAAGAUCCUAAAUUUUAGGGAUUUGGAUUAUCCCAUAUCUUGUAAUUAUCCUCUAAUUGUUAAAUAUGGUAAUUAUAGAUUUUGCAUUAUCCUAUCCUUAUUUUCGAAAUCUAUAAAGAUAAUUAAGGGAUUAGGAUAUCUUAAAUGUAUAAUUAUUAAAUCAAGAGUUUUAAUAUUUAAUUUUUUUAAUUUAGAUGUCAUAAAUUCGAAAUUUUUAAGAAAGAUUAAAACUAAAUUGUUUUGAAAAGUUUCAAAACUUGCCCUCAAGUUUUGGAAUUUAAAUUUUGAUUAAUUGUUUAAUUUUGAUGUAUAUUUAAAUUCUAAACCCUAAUGUUUUGAAAUGUUUCAAAACAUGCCCUCAUGUUUUGGAAUUUAAAAGUUGAUUAAAAGUUUAAUUAGGAAUGUUAAAUUCUAAAACCCUAGUAUUGUUUUGAAAAAGUUCAAAUCACACCCUUAUGGUUUUAUUAAUUAAUUAAGGUGUAUAAUUAAAAGAGGUUUAAUAAAUCCAUAAAAGUUUUGGUUUACAAUUUAAUUGAAUUAAAAGUAUAAUUGUUAAAUUUGACCACCUAGUAUUUUAAAAGUGUAAAAUACACCCUAUACUAUAUAUAACAUUAAAAGUCUAACAUUAUAUAUAUGUAUGAGUAAAAGUCAGUCUUACCGUUAGUAGGCCUCAUUCACGAAGCUGGUCUAUAAGGGGUGUUUAAGGAAAUUGCCUAUAAAAUGGCGAUUGAAUGGGUAUCCACUCUUACCCACCGCACUCUUGACUAGUGGAGGGUCGUUAGCCGAACGGGUAGGAUAGGACAAAACCUUCCAUUAUAAGUAUAAUGAAUUACUAAAGUAACUAAAUGUUUUUUCAAAUUCCCAAUCUUAGUUACAUAGGCAAAGUGAAUUGAUGCAAUUCCAUGAAAUUACACUUUGUACCCUUGCGAAGACGUUAGUGGAGCGUGUGUGGUUUACCGGCACACUAAAUGGUUCUAAGCAAAGGUAGCAAAGGGUGACUCAAUGUUUGUCAUAGUUCGGUGGAGCGUGUGUGGUUUACCGGCACAUCGAAUAGGUGACUGUAACAUGUGAGGGCACCAUGUAAGUUUGCAUGGUUAUUCACACCCGCUUUGUGAUCCUCGGCAUCCCAGUCACAAACUAGAGGGGCAUAUCGAGAUUUAAACAUGCCAUUGAAAUGUUCAAUGAAUCUCAAAGGAUCUAGGAGUUUUCAUAGAUUUAAAACUUAAAUUUCUUUUUCGUUUUUCAUGGUGGAAAUUAGUGAAUCGUCAUUCACUUACCUUCAAAUGUUCUGCAAUUUGGGUUACGGCAUCCCUCUCCCGAGUUGUAGAAUAUUGUGUUGGGUCCUAGCCUUAGUAUCUCAUUUGGGUGAUUUACUAAGGACUCAAUCAAUCAACUAACUUGAAUUCGUUUUCUCCCGUUUUGUAGAUGUCAAAGUUCGACAACUAUGGUCUUCCCAAAUCCCGUGGAACAAGCAUUCCACAUGAAGAUGAUAUUCCACGAUUCGAUCGAGGAACAAGAAAUCAUGCUUCACUUCCUCCACCUCCUCCAAUUAUUCUCCCUAACCCACAAGUUCAAAGGCUUGAAAAGUUCAAGAUCACUCAAGCCCUUUUGGCAAGUAAACAUAAAGAAGGAAAGUCGGUGUGUGCACACGUCCUAGGGAUGAAGUCACACAUUGAUAGGUUAAGAAUGUUGGGAUCCGUUGUCUGUGAGGAAAUGGUUGUUGAUUGGGUUCUUCAGUCACUUCCUAACUCAUAUAGUGAGUUCGUAAGAGAGUACUAUAUGAUGAACCGCGACGUGACCCUUAUAGAUCUCACCUAUAUGCUUAUUGCUGCUGAAUCAGCAAUGGUUUGGCGCAAUAGAAAAGCAAAGUUGAUUGGUGAAUCUGCCUUCAAGACCUCUAUGGAUAUAGACAAUGGCAACGAAAGACAUGCUAUGAUCGAAAAGUUUGAUCAUAAGAGAAAGGCAAUGUCUGAAGUAGUUCCAUGUCAUGUUCCAAAAGAGUCAAUUUGCUUUUAUUGCCAAGAGAAGGGGCAUUGGAGACGAAGCUGCCCCAUUUACCUAAGAGAUCUAAGAGAUGGGAGAGUCGAAACGUAUGGCUCUAAUAUAGGUAAAAUCCAUUAACUAACUCUUUUAAGCUUCUAUUCUAGAUUCUUAAUACAUAAUGUGAUAAGAUUACAAUUGAUGUUUUGUAGGAUCGAAGAAAAGAAAGGAAGCUUAAGGGAAGAAGUGAGCAGAAUCUAACCGUGAAGGAAUGGAUUUCGAUCGCAUUUCUCGAAGAUUAGAUUCUUGAGCUACUACUUAGAGUUAGAAUUAGAUUGCUAAGAAAGAUGUAUUAGCAUAAGUUUUUCAAUGAAUUGCAUUGUAAGGACAAAUUUUUCCGCAAUAAAAUAAAUUUUGAUUUUAAAUUUUAUUUAUUUAUCCUUACAAUGGCGUGUAUGAAAAAUUGAUGUUAAAAUGUUUCUAUUAUUAGCAAUAAUGGAUUUGGUUCUUAUUAUGUUAUUUAUGGAAAGUCGAGAAUUUACCAAAUAGGGAGAGUUUCUCAUCGCCCAAGUUUCAAUUGGACAGAAACUUGGAAUCAUGCAACUUGGUUGCACGAUGAAUGAGAAAUUUCAUAUUUGGAAAUUAGACUAAUUCAUUGACAAAGUGUCAAGUGAAGGACUAGGAGAUCGAAUACACAAAGUUGCGUGUUGAUCAAGUCCACCAUAAGAGUAACAAAGAUAUUCGUCAUGAUUUACUAAAGGUUUAGUAAAUAUGAUUAUACUUAUAAGAUUAAGUGUAAUUCUGAAUUGAUUGAAAAGGUUUAAAUCAAUAGCAGAACGAAUAAGAAGAAUCAAGUAGGCAGAAAGAUAAAAGUUUCUCCAUUCUAAGAAGAAGGGAGAGUACCUUUUAUGCUUUAUGAUAGGUCUUAAUGAUUAAGAACCAUAUCUCAAUUGAUCCUCUAAGUGAGUCUUAGUACAAUUGUAUGUCUAAGAAGAGGAAUCAAGAAUUGAAGAAAUGGUUAAAUCAAUAAGUCAAUCAUACUUCGUUCCAAUAACAAGUCUUAAAGUUAAGAUUGUGACAUUGAGUGAAAAGUAUUAAGAAGGUUUGUAACAUUCAUUAAAUGUGGAAAGUUGUGAUGUCUUGGAUAAGACAAAGACCAACUAGGACCAAUUUAUGAAGUGUUUUGAUAAAAGCUACACUAACUCUUGAAUAUUUGUUUGUCAAGAAAUGUUUUUUGACAAGAGAAUCUUAUAUGUCAAGGAGUCAGUGGGAGUCUUAAUGGUCUUGAAAGGUUUCAAGAACAAAUCAAAUAAACCUUAUCGAUCAUCACUAGCACACGAGUUGAGGUUUACAACCUAUCGUGUUGACAUUAUUUUGAUUCUGUGCCAAUCCAAUCGAGUUAAUUAUGCAUGUGAGUUCUAUGAGUUCUCAUUUUGAACGCAUAAAAGGCAAAGCACCUUAAUCAAUGAAAGGUACAUUGAUAGGAAAGGGUGAGCUGCUUAACUACUUGGAAGACAUGGUGGGCAGCUGUGCUACCAUAAAGGCAAGAAAUCGAGAUCAAGAAAGUUCGAUCCAUAAGAGUUUGAAUUUGUCGUAAACUUUGGUUUUGACAAAUUCACAUGGAUAGGAACAAAUACACCGUUUAAAUCUAAGUGUCAUAAGAUUUCCUCCUUCAUGAAAAUGAUUGUGAGGAAAUGCUUUCACUAAGACAGAUUUUAAGAAGAUAGUGAUUGUAAAAUUGCAUUCUCGAAUUCAAUUAUGGUUACGGCAUCCCUUUCCAUAAUUUGAAUUGUGAGGUUUGGCAAUUAGUCUUAAUUGUUUAGACACACAUAUGAACUAUCGAAGGCAAAGGUGUAUAAGUUCAAGAAGCCUUGAUAAAAGAUUAUCAAAGCACUAAGUAUUAGAAACAUGAACUUAAGAAAUUCAAUAAGCAUUUUUUUUCUGAAAGUUAAGAUGUUUAUGAAUACAUGUCGAAGCUAGUGGGAGCAUAAGUGUUAUGUUUUAUAAUAAUCAUCAAGAUAGUGGGAGCAUAAAAGUUAUGAUUGUAUGAUUAUUAAGGAAAGUAUUGCAAGGUUAGCAAUAUUAAUUAUAGAAAACAAGAGUCAUACUUUGCAAAGUCGCAAUAGUUGAAGAGUUGUUUUGCUAUAAUUAAGGGAGAGAAUAUUAUGCUUCAUUUCAAAUCUAAAGGUUUAGGUUGAGAAAUGUUAAUAAAAUUUAGUCAAAGGUACAAAGUGUGUUCUUAAAAUUUCGAUUAUGAUUACGGCAUCCCUCUUCACAAUUCGAAUUUUGAGAACAUAGCAAAUAAAACAUUAUGCGUCGUGUCCCAUACGCUUCGGGUAUAGGAUCGAUUGCAAAUGCUUUAAUGUUUGACCAUUCUAAAAUUUUCCAAAUGUCGAGCGCAUUUAGAGGGAAAAGGGACUAGAAUUGGUUUUGACUAAAAUAAUUAAACAACUAUCAAAGGACAAUCCAAAGUUCGACGAGGAUUGGUCGCUUGUGAGUAGUUGGAAGUAUAGUAUUGGAAAAUAUGGAAAUGUUUCCAUAUUGGAUGGACCAUAUCGACAUCAUUACGAAUAGAUAAGAUUCUAUUAAGAAUGAGUUGUCAUAUGGAACAUAUGGAAGUGUGUCCAUAUUGGGAAUUGAAUAUUGAGAAAUCUAUGACUAGAUUAGAAACUUCUAUGCAAAAGGAUGUUCAAAGAAUGUACUUUGAGUGAGAGACAUCACAUCUAUGGAAUUGUCUUGUAACAAUCUCCGAUAGAGGACUUUGUAAUAUCAUUGGCAAUAGUCUUUGUGACUUUGGUGCAGUGACAUUACGAAAGGAUAAGUUGCAUAGAAUGUUAGAAUCUAGCAUAUUCUAUAAGUAGCAAGAAUUUGAUAUUCUUUCACUUAGAAAAAGGAUUUGGAGUUGUGAAAUGAGAAUGAUUGGAAAUGUGUUCAAUGUGAUCUAUUUCACAAAGUAAGAACCAUAGGUAAACAUUGUGUGCAUGCUAGGAGCAUGGGACAAGUGUUGUAAUUCAAGUAAGAAGUUGAUUACCCGAAACGACAAAUAAUGAGUAAUCAAUAUGGUGAUAAAUAAAAGGUGUUUUAUUUAUACUCAAAGGUUUGAGGCCAUAUGGGAUUAGUAUUAUUCUUGUGUUUCACAUUUGCAUGUUUUGACUUCCAGAAUAAUUGAGUUUAUUAAGAAUAAUCGAAUUAUUCGAACGGGCCACAGUCGUUCAUAUGUUGGAAGUAGAUAUGAAUGAAGACUGUCGUGAAUUGGUGUGUGGAUUGUCUAAAAGAGUAUUAGACAUAAGCAAAUGUUUGCUGCAACGUUCAUGAGUGCUUAUGAAUAUGAUUUGAGCAUUGGAUUAAACCCACGCUCACUUGGAUCACUCCAUGAAUUGUAUCACGAGUGAUUGGUGAGACGAUAACAUCUUAUAUUCUUGAAACCGAGAUGUGUGAGUUGUAUCUUGCAAAUCGGUUGCACAUUGAUAAUAUGUAAACGCACUAGUAACUUGGUGUUAUAAAACAUAUUGUUGUGUGUGAUUCGGUGAGUGAGUGCAAGCAAGCAUUGUAUCAAAGUUUAUCCGUUCCUUUUAUCCAAAGUAGGAUAAAAGCGAUAUCUUUGGGCCCCUCGAUGAUUUAGUGAUGACAAACGUAAAUGCUCGGCCGGGCUAGGGCUAAUUUGAUUUGUUCAAUUAGUCAGUCGUCAUAAAUCGGGAAUCGAGAUAUAGUACAAAGAGAAUGAUUUGAAAUCAUAUCUCAUAUGAUAUCUAGAAUGGAGGAAUAUAUGAUCCCUUAUCUAAGGACACGCGUAUCUGAUAUGAUCAGAGUUGACAGCGGCUUUGGAAAGCUACGAUUGCAGAUCAGGAUCUGAAGUCAUACGCAGAAUAGUUAUUAGACUUAUCCAAGUGGGAGACUGUUGGAUUAGUGUCUAAGUCCAUAACUAUUUUGGUAUGUACUUGACCCGAUGGUGCAUGGUCCUUUUGGGUUGCCUUCACCAAAGCAACUUGAUUGGAGAAAUAAAUAGAGAGAGAGGUUAUUAUGAUUUAUUAAUAUGUUAUAAGAAUAAUAUAUUAAAGGAGAAAUCAUAUUUGUUUAAUUAAUAUUGGUCAAUAAUUAAUUAAGAAUUAAUUUUGUGAUCAAAUGUAAUUAAUUAAACUAGAGGGGCUGAAUUGUAAUUAUGUGAUAGUUGCAAAAUAGGGCAAUGGUUAUCCUUGUUAAAGGAUGGACGAAUUCAAGGAUAAGGAUAUCCUUAAAAUCGUCCAAGGUCCAAGAGAUAGGGAUUUUCAAGGCUUAUCUUAUGGUUGCUUGAUGGGCAAGUAACUAGAUAAGGAUAAGGACUGAAACCCUAAUCCCAACCCUAUAUAAAGACCCCUAAGGCCUUAGGAUUUCGUGCACUUGAUCCCUAGAGCAUCUAAGGACGAAUUUCUACCUCUCUCCUCUCUCUUUAUACCUUCUCCACUUGCUUAUGGUGUUUGUAAGCCAUUAGAGGAGUGACACUUGUGACUCUAAGCCUUCCAAAGUCAAUUCAAGGAGGAAUUGGGAUUGUUAUUGCUACAUAACAAUCAAGGUAAUAUCUUAAACCUAAUUAUAUGUUAAUAUUGAUUUCCAUAUGCUAGAAUUAGGGUUUAUAGUCUUGGAUUCAAAGCAUGUACAAUAGAGAAACCUAGAUCCAAGCAUUAGGGUUUGUAUGAGCACAUAGGAUGUCUUAUGACCAAAACCCAUCAGUGGUAUCAGAGCCUAGACUAGUUUCU